UACGGAGGUGGCAAGCGUUGCUCGGAAUCACUGGGCGUAAAGGGCGCGUAGGCGGGGAGGUAAGUCGGGUGUGAAAUCCCUCGGCCCAACCGAGGAACUGCGCCCGAGACUGCUUCUCUUGAGUCCCGGAGAGGAAGGUGGAAUUCCCGGUGUAGCGGUGAAAUGUGUAGAUAUUGGGAGGAACACCGGUGGCGAAGGCGGCUCUCUGGGCAGUAACUGACGCUGAGGAGCGAAAGCGUGGGGAGCGAACAGG
rnacentral:rRNA from 1 species